GAUGAACGCUGGCGGCGUGCUUAACACAUGCAAGUCGAACGAAGCACUUUAACCUGAUUCUUCGGAUGAAGGGUUUUGUGACUGAGUGGCGGACGGGUGAGUAACGCGUGGGUAACCUGCCUCAUACAGGGGGAUAACAGAUAGAAAUGACUGCUAAUACCGCACAAGACCACAGAGCCGCAUGGCCGGGUGGGAAAAACUCCGUUGGGAUGAGAUGGACCCGCGUCUGAUUAGGUAGUUGGUGGGGUAACGGCGUACCAAGCCAACGAUCAGUAGCCGACCUGGGAGGGUGCCCGGCCGCGUUUGGACUGAGACACGGCCCCAACUCCUACGCAGGGGAGCAGUGGGGAAUAUUGCGCGCUGGGGCCAGACCUGAUGCAGCGGCGCCGCGUGAGCGAGGAAGUAUUUCGGUAUGUACAGCUCUAUCAGCAGAGAAGAAAGUGACGGUACCUGACUAAGAAGCACCGGCUAACUACGUG
rnacentral:rRNA from 1 species